UUUUUACCAACUCUUGAUAUCCAUUGUGCUCUUGACCGCUGCUGGGGAUGAACUGAUGUCAACCCUUAUGCUCAAACAAGUCUUCAAAAUCUAAAGAUCAACAGAAUACAGUUACUUGCCAUAAUCCCUAAUUUUUGCAUAAGUGGCCCCAAGGUGGGGUACUCAACUUAUCGGGAAAUUCUUUUUGUUUUAUGUCUCUAACUUUUGCCUGGAUCGCCCUUUC
rnacentral:lncRNA from 1 species